GCCCUACGGGGCGCAGCAGGCGCGAAAACUUUACCAUGCGGGCAACCGUGAUAAGGAAACCCCGAGUGCCAGCACAGGCUGGCUGUCCGCCAGUUUAAAUAACUGGUGAAGAAAGGGCCGGGCAAGACCGGUGCCAGCCGCCGCGGUAAUACCGGCGGCUCGAGUGGUGGCCGCUAUUACUGGGCUUAAAGGGUCCGUAGCUUGAUAACUGGGUCCCUUGAGAAAUCCGCCAGCUCAACUGGCGGGCGUUCAGGGGAAACUUGUUUUCUAGGGACCGGGAGAGGUGAGGGGUACUGCCGGGGUAGGAGUGAAAUCCUGUAAUCCCGGUGGGACCACCUAUGGCGAAGGCAUCUCACCAGAACGGGUCCGACAGUGAGGGACGAAAGCUGGGGGAGCAAACCGGAUUAGAUACCCGGGUAGUCCCAGCUGUAAACUAUGUGCGUUAGGUGUGUCAGUGACCACGUGUCACUGAGGUGCCGAAGGGAAACCGUGAAACGCACCGCCUGGGGAGUACGGUCGCAAGGCUGAAACUUAAAGGAAUUGGCGGGGGAGCACCACAACGGGUGGAGCUUGCGGUUUAAUUGGAUUCAACGCCGGAAAUCUUACCGGG
rnacentral:rRNA from 1 species